UAUAAGAAAACAAGUGAUGCAUGUUAAACUUGGUGUAUACGACGCCUAUGGACUAUAUGAUGAUUGUGACCCUAGAGGAUAGGGUAUUCUCGAGACGAGGAUUGGAUCAUGCUCACGGUCUGUUUUUAAAUCUUGUGAUGGAAGCCCCACACAAGUAGUGCGCUCCGGAGUUGGUCACGUAGGAUCGCCUAUUUUGGGUCCCAAGGGAUUUUCUAUUUCGGGUCCCGCCAGACGGUCUCGGUUCGUAGUGCGAGUUGACCCUCC
rnacentral:lncRNA from 1 species